AUAUUCACAAGUCGUAUAAAAUAAAUAUGUGUGUUUGUGUUGUAAGAAACGAGAGAAGCUGCAGUCGGCUGCUGAGGUGAUCAUCAGCUCCACCAUCAGCAUAGUGAGCAGCAGCAGCAACAUGGACUUCAGAAAUGCCUGCUUGAAACGCAUGAAGGUUCAUGACACUCACGGGUUAUCAGCCUCCCUCAGAGAGUCCCUGUGGAGGGUGUCGUCAUGGAAACGGCUCCCUAAAGUCGGGUGCUAUUCUGCUCAGCAGGUUGAAGAUCAAGCUGCGAGUAACGAGGCCAUCAGAGCUGAAAUCUGACAAAGUUUUUCUUUUAUUUUUAAUUCUGGCCAGGAAUUUAUUUAUUUAUUUAUUUAUUCUAAAGAGACAUGUUUGUACUGCGAAUAUUUUGUGUUUCUAGUACUCUAUUAGAAGUAUUUAUUUUACACUAAAGUAUACGUGAAUGUGACUUUUUUUUACUGAUUUGAGAUCUAAUUAAUCACAAUAAAGUUUGGUUUAGACUUUUCUGUGAUGGUGGUUGCUUUAAUAAAUGUAUGCAAAACAUUAUCUGCAGUUGAGGUUAUUUUAGGUUGAAAUAAAGUAGAAAAAAUAUCAGCAUACCUGCAUAAACUGUUGACCUGAAAGUAAUUCAGCAGAGAAAGUGUCCAUGAUGGGACUGAUCUGAAUAUGCCUGUGGUUCCUGACUUCCACUUGCUUUGGUUUUUUGUUUAUUUUUGUCGACAACAAUUGUUGAAAAUAAUUAUAUUAUAAUAUUGCACAAUUACACAAGCUAAAACUUUAAUUUCAC